rnacentral:rRNA from 1 species
GAUGAACGCUGGCGGCGUGCCUAAUACAUGCAAGUCGAGCGAAUCGUGGACAGGUGAGUGACACGUGGAAACCCUCCUAUAAGACUGGGGUAACUUCGGGGAACACGAGCUCAAUCCGACGCUUAUAGAUGUAUCCGAGCUGCAUUAGCUAGUUGUUAAGGUAACGGCUUACCUAGGCAACGAUGCAUAGCCGGCCUGAGAGGGUGAUCGGCCACACUGGAACUGAGACACGGUCCAGACUCCUACGGGAGGCAGCAGUAGGGAAUCUUGCGCAAUGGGCGAAAGCCUGACGGAGCCACGCCGCGUGAGUGAUGAAGGUCUUCGGAUCGUAAAGCUCUGUUAGUAGGGAAGCGGUACCUAAUCAAAAAGCAACGGCUAACUACGUGCCAGCAGCCGCGGUAAUUC